rnacentral:rRNA from 1 species
ACGGCAUUGCCUUAGUUACGGCGAGUGAAGCGGCAAAAGCUCCAAAUUUGAAAUCUGGUACCUUCGGUGCCCGAGUUGUAAUUUGGAGAGGGCAACUUUGCAACUUUUGGGGCCGUUCCUUCGUCUAUGUUCCUUGGAACAGGACGUCAUAGAGGGUGAGAAUCCCGUGUGGCGAGGAGUGCGGUUCUUUGUAAAGUGCCUUCGAAGAGUCGAGUUGUUUGGGAAUGCAGCUCUAAGUGGGUGGUAAAUUCCAUCUAAAGCUAAAUAUUGGCGAGAGACCGAUAGCGAACAAGUACAGUGAUGGAAAGAUGAAAAGAACUUUGAAAAGAGAGUGAAAAAGUACGUGAAAUUGUUGAAAGGGAAGGGCAUUUGAUCAGACAUGGUGUUUUGUGCCCUCUGCUCCUUGUGGGUAGGGGAAUCUCGCAUUUCACUGGGCCAGCAUCAGUUUUGGUGGCAGGAUAAAUCCAUAGGAAUGUAGCUUGCCUCGGUAAGUAUUAUAGCCUGUGGGAAUACUGCCAGCUGGGACUGAGGACUGCGACGUAAGUCAAGGAUGCUGGCAUAAUGGUUAUAUGCCGCCCGUCUAAACAAACGGGAAAAAAAAA